rnacentral:lncRNA from 1 species
AAUAACGUCUGGAGGAACAAAAUAUUCUCCUGGUCCUCCACAAUGGUAAAUAUUCCUAUUUUGUACUGCAACUUCCCGUGCCUCGACAGCCUUUGAUUUUGAAACAACCAGUUCUUCUUCCAUAUACUCCUGUUCGCAGUCCGAUGUAUAUUCUGGACUGGUAAUUUGAGUUUCUCCGUGAUACUGGACAGGAUACAUUUGGAGCACUAUUUUAUCCUUACCCUUUCCAAUUGUUAGCGUUCCACGACCCCAAUCGUUCCGAGCUUCAGCUUGAUAUAGCCACG